rnacentral:rRNA from 1 species
GAUGAACGCUGGCGGCGUGCCUAAUACAUGCAAGUCGAGCGAACAGACGAGAAGCUUGCUUCUCUGACGUUAGCGGCGGACGGGUGAGUAACACGUGGAUAACCUACCUAUAAGACUGGGAUAACUUCGGGAAACCGGAGCUAAUACCGGAUAAUAUAUUGAACCGCAUGGUUCAAUAGUGAAAGACGGUUUUGCUGUCACUUAUAGAUGGAUCCGCGCCGCAUUAGCUAGUUGGUAAGGUAACGGCUUACCAAGGCAACGAUGCGUAGCCGACCUGAGAGGGUGAUCGGCCACACUGGAACUGAGACACGGUCCAGACUCCUACGGGAGGCAGCAGUAGGGAAUCUUCCGCAAUGGGCGAAAGCCUGACGGAGCAACGCCGCGUGAGUGAUGAAGGUCUUCGGAUCGUAAAACUCUGUUAUUAGGGAAGAACAUAUGUGUAAGUAACUAUGCACGUCUUGACGGUACCUAAUCAGAAAGCCACGGCUAACUACGUG